GACGAACGCUGGCGGCGUGCUUAACACAUGCAAGUCGAACGGUUCAGAAGAGCUUGCUCUUUUGAUCAGUGGCGAACGGGUGAGUAACACGUGAGCAACCUACCCUUGACUCUGGGAUAACAGUUGGAAACAGCUGCUAAUACCGGAUACGACCUCGGCCGACAUCUGUUGAGGUGGAAAGUUCUGGCGGUCAAGGAUGGGCUCGCGGCCUAUCAGCUAGUGGGUGAGGUAACGGCUCACCAAGGCUUCGACGGGUAGCCGGCCUGAGACGGGAGGACGCCAACGCUGGGACUGGGGGACGGCCCAGACGCCUACGGGAGGUAGCAGUGGGGAAUAGUGCACAAAGGGCGAAAGCAUGAUGCAGCGACGCGGCGUGCGAGAUGACGGCCUUCGGGUUGUAAACCGCUUUCAGCUCCGACGAAGCGCAAGUGACGGUAGGGGCAGAAGAAGGACCGGCCAACUACGUGCCAGCAGCCGCCGUAAUAC
rnacentral:rRNA from 1 species